UACGUAGGGGGCGAGCGUUGUCCGGAAUCAUUGGGCGUAAAGCGCGUGUAGGCGGCUCGAUAAGUCCGGUGUGAAACCUUGGGGCUCAACCCCAAGCCUGCACUGGAUACUGCCGAGCUAGAGUCCGGGAGGGGAGAGCGGAAUUCCUAGUGUAGCGGUGAAAUGCGCAGAUAUCGGGAGGAACACCAGUAGCGAAGGCGGCACUCUGGGC
rnacentral:rRNA from 1 species